rnacentral:lncRNA from 1 species
UCCCACCCAGAGGCUUUAAAUGUCUGACAACUUCCUGGUAGAAAUAUUGCUAUGCAGGAAAACCUCAGAUGCCUGUCUCUUAAGUUUAAACCUAUGUAUAACAAAAAGGCCUUCAUACACCACUACACUAGAGAGGGCUUAAGUGAAUCCGAAUUCACUGAAGCACAAGAAGAUUUAAAUGAUUUGAUUUCUGAUUAUCAGAGUUUUCAGGAUUGCGGAAAAGGGGAGGAAAAAAAAAAAUCUAAAUCAAACAAAAAGCGAGUUGGCAAGCAAUUCAAUCUAGGUUAUGGCAAGACCAGCUCAGGGAAGGGCCCUGAGGGUCAUCAAGCCAGGACAAGAACCAUGGGGGUUGGGAUUACAGCAGGACCAAUUCCAAUUUCGACUAAGAACUUCGCAGAAAGCUACUUAGAGCAGAGAAAUUACGACGCGGCGCCAUAUGCCAAGACCAACUCAGGGAAAGGCCCCGUGGGUCAAGCCGGGGCAAGAAGCAUGGGGGUUGGGAUGUCAGGAGGACCAAUCCCGAAUAAGAACUCCGAAGACAGCUUCUUAGAGCAGAGAGCAUCUCAGAAUGCAAAGAAAUAUUCAAGAGACGGAUCUCUCAGAGACAAUGCUUCAAAGACGACUACAGAACUUGGACCACCACCACCACCUAAUAAUGGGGGAAAGCCAAGCACUUCAAGGAAAUUUAAGCCCCCAAAUGAAACAAGAUCAGACACUAAUCAACCAAGAAAGGUGAACUCCAAAGUGAAAUCUUGUAACAAACCAGAAGUAGUAUAUAAUUGCUGUAUCAGCAGUUAUUUAUUCGUCUCAAAUUAAGAUCUUCAGAAGGAACUAGAAGCUGGAGAGACAGUAAUUCCUUCCUCUACAGUGUGGCUUAAGCUCUAUGAAGAUGGAAGAACAGUGGAAAGGCCAAAAAAAAAAGUUGACAAUUGUUGCAUCGAAGGGUAAAAAAUUGUCAACUUGAUAAUGCAAAGACUAAAUACAUAGUACUGGAAAAAGGUAAAUUUUUUUCUCACUUUGAUGAAACUCACAUUUCAUUCAAGUCAAUAAUAAAACUCUUCUCAAAAGAACGUGAACCCA